rnacentral:rRNA from 1 species
UACGUAGGUGGCAAGCGUUGUCCGGAUUUACUGGGCGUAAAGGGCGUGCAGGCGGUCUGUUAAGUGCAGGGUGAAAGCUCCCGGCUCAACUGGGAGAGGUCCUUGCAUACUGGCGGACUUGAGGGGGGUAGAGGAAAGUGGAAUUCCCGGUGUAGUGGUGAUAUGCGUAGAUAUCGGGAGGAACACCUGUGGCGAAGGCGGUUGCCUGGAGCUUUGCUGACGCUGAGGCGCGAAAGCGUGGGGAGCGAUCCGG